rnacentral:rRNA from 1 species
CGCCUGUUUAUCAAAAACAUGUCUUUUUGUUAAUUAUUUAAGGUCUGGCCUGCUCAAUGAGUUGUUAAAUAGCCGCAGUAUUUUGACUGUGCAAAGGUAGCAUAAUCAUUAGUUUUUUUAUUGAAAGCUGGAAUGAAUGGUUGGAUGAAGAGGUAGCUGUCUCAUUUUGAUUUUGUUGAAUUUUAUUUUUGAGUUAAAAAGCUUAGAUUUUAUAAAAAGACGAGAAGACCCUAUAGAGUUUGAUAAGUUUUUUUCUUAGUUUUUUUAGGUUUUAAUUUUUAAUUAGGUUUUAGUUUAUUUUGUUGGGGUGAUUUGAAAAUUAAUUUAACUUUUCAUUAUUUUUACAUUGAUUUGUGGUUCAUUGAUCCUGAAGUUUUGGAUUAAAAGUAUAAAUUACCUUAGGGAUAACAGCGUGAUUUUUUUAGAGAGUUCUAAUCGAUAAAGGAGAUUGCGACCUCGAUGUUGGAUUAAAGUUAAUUUUUGACGUAGAAGUUAAGAUUUUAAGUCUGUUCGACUUUUAAAACUUUACGUGAUCUGAGUUUACACCGG